GGAGUUUGUUUCAGCUGACUAUAUGCCUACUCAGUCACACGUUUGUCGCAUUGGUUGUUUUUCGCUUGGUAUUGGCGUUUGAAUUAAGUAUUUUUCAAGAAUUGUCGCAUCACAAGGUAGCGCAGCAGACUAAAGUCCCAUAAUGUCCACAGUCGCGAGUUUAAUUGAUUUUGAUGCUGACGAGUCGCCGAAAUGGCGUACAAAGGGAGCAGAGGUUCCUACCGUGAACGAAAUGAUUGAAAGUAUCGUAAAAUACCAAAAUCUCUGGA